rnacentral:rRNA from 1 species
AUGGUCUCUUCUUCAUCGAGUCAUAAUGGUCCACGUCGUCAUGGUCGGCCCUGUCGCUCGGGGGGGUCUACAGUUGGUCGGCGAGGUGGUUCGGUCCGUGUUGUUGCUUCUGCUGUUCUGACCGAUCGGUCUAUCGUUUUGCGAGGUGUUUCAUCUUCUCAUAUUCGCUCGUCGUCUCGGUUUGGUCGUCCUGUGCGUCGUUCGCGUGAUUUCUGUGAGCGAUCUCCUGAUUUGCUGGAUCUUGCAGCGCAGUCUGGUGGUGAUGCUUUUGCUAGGCGGCGUAGGGAGGUGAUCCGGCUGGGCAAGCGGCCCAUCGAUUCUACUCUCGAUGUCCCUUUUUGCGCCGCGGAGUCGUGUGGACGUGAUUCUGUUCCUGCUACUGGUUGUUUUUCUGCUCUAGGGCCUGCCAUACUGGGUUUCACGGCAUUCAUUCACUUCAAGUAUCGAAAGGCAAAGAGUUUAGCCAUGAGUACCAACCACUCGGCCAAGAGCUUCCCAUCAGGAAAACAAUCAAAGAAAAAGGAAAAGAAGUUUGUUUCAAGUUCUUCUUCCAAUGCUACCCCAGUUAACAUGAACGACGACUUGAUGGUGUAUAUAUCAAGGCGAGUCAUUCUCCAAAUUGUCGGCUCAGCCAUAAGGCAGGAGGUGCAAGGAUACCUUCAUUUCACGUACCUUGAUGGUACCAUACAGGUGUCCUUGCACAUGGGAGCAGUAUAUUCCACAGGGAGCAUCAAUGAAAAUCCUUUGAUUUUCGAAGGAGAAUCCGUAGCAACACAAGACGAGGCGGAAGAAGGGGCUGCUCAAGCAGUGCUGGACUACAUUUGUGAGAACUAUGCUAUCACAAUCAACGACUAUAAUUAUUCUGUGUUGCAGGCAACAAAUCAAAAGCUUCUAUCAGCUCAAGAAAAGAUACGUGCAAAGCAUUGGCAGUUCAAUAUGGCCAAACGUGAGGUUGCUGCUCGCCAAGCCGAGACUGUAACCCAAACGGAGACACUAGCACAUAUAUGCAACGAUUUCUUAGAUGCGGUGCCCCUCUGUAUGCACCCACAUCGUCCAUUCACUGAAGACCGUAUCAUUAGCUAUACUGGUAGUUGUCCGCCUAUCACACGACUCAAGCACUUCGCAAAAGUGUUAUAUUAUUUCAUUAUUGGCACUAACCCCCGGGGAGAGUGUUCCAGAAUGACUUGA